rnacentral:rRNA from 1 species
AUUGAACGCUGGCGGCAUGCUUUACACAUGCAAGUCGAACGGUAACAGGUCUUCGGAUGCUGACGAGUGGCGAACGGGUGAGUAAUGCAUCGGAACGUGCCCAGUCGUGGGGGAUAACGCAGCGAAAGCUGUGCUAAUACCGCAUACGAUCUAUGGAUGAAAGCGGGGGAUCGAAAGACCUCGCGCGAUUGGAGCGGCCGAUGUCAGAUUAGCUAGUUGGUGGGGUAAAGGCCCACCAAGGCGACGAUCUGUAGCUGGUCUGAGAGGACGACCAGCCACACUGGGACUGAGACACGGCCCAGACUCCUACGGGAGGCAGCAGUGGGGAAUUUUGGACAAUGGGCGCAAGCCUGAUCCAGCAAUGCCGCGUGCAGGAAGAAGGCCUUCGGGUUGUAAACUGC